rnacentral:rRNA from 1 species
UACGUAGGGUGCAAGCGUUGUCCGGAAUUAUUGGGCGUAAAGAGCUCGUAGGCGGUCUGUCGCGUCGGACGUGAAAACCCAGGGCUCAACCCUGGGCCUGCGUUCGAUACGGGCAGACUAGAGUUCGGUAGGGGAGACUGGAAUUCCUGGUGUAGCGGUGAAAUGCGCAGAUAUCAGGAGGAACACCGGUGACGAAGGCGGGUCUCUGGGCCGAAACUGACGCUGAGGAGCGAAAGCGUGGGGAGCGAACAGG